CAAAAGGUCCUUUUAAGGGCCCUAAAAAAAAAAAAAUAAAUAAAAU
rfam:TPA: Bos taurus chromosome X, whole genome shotgun sequence.